rnacentral:snRNA from 1 species
AUGCUUACUCAGGCAGCACAUAUGACACAUUGGAAACAAUCCAGAGAAGAUUAGCAUGGCCCCUGUGAAAGGAUGACAUGCAAACUUGUGAAGCAUUUUCACAUUUUU